rnacentral:rRNA from 1 species
GACGAACGCUGGCGGCGUGCUUAACACAUGCAAGUCGAACGGAAAGGCCUCUUUCGGGGGGUACUCGAGUGGCGAACGGGUGAGUAACACGUGAGUAACCUGCCCUUGACUUUGGGAUAACUUGAGGAAACUGGGGCUAAUACCGGAUAGGAGCUCCUGCUGCAUGGUGGGGGUUGGAAAGUUUCGGCGGUUGGGGAUGGACUCGCGGCUUAUCAGCUUGUUGGUGGGGUAGUGGCUUACCAAGGCUUUGACGGGUAGCCGGCCUGAGAGGGUGACCGGCCACAGUGGGACUGAGAUACGGCCCAGACUCCUACGGGAGGCAGCAGUGGGGAAUAUUGCACAAUGGGUGGAAGCCUGAUGCAGCAACGCCGUGUGCGGGAUGACGGCCUUCGGGUUGUAAACCGCUUUCGCUCAUGACGAAGCUUUGUGUGACGGUAGUGGGUAAAGAAGCACCGGCUAACUACGUG